GUAUGAUGAAGGUCUUCGGAUUGUAAAGUACUGUCUUUGGGGAAGAAUGACUGAUUUGAAAAUAUUGAGUCAGUAUGACGGUACCCAAGGAGGAAGCCCCGGCUAACUACGUGCCAGCAGCCGCGGUAAUACGUAGGGGGCAAGCGUUGUCCGGAAUUAUUGGGCGUAAAGGGCGCGUAGGCGGAUCGUUAAGUCUGGUGUGAAAGAUCAGGGCUCAACCCUGAGAGUGCAUCGGAAACUGGGGAUCUUGAGGACAGGAGAGGAAAGUGGAAUUCCACGUGUAGCGGUGAAAUGCGUAGAUAUGUGGAGGAACACCAGUGGCGAAGGCGACUUUCUGGACUGUAACUGACGCUGAGGCGCGAAAGCGUGGGGAGCAAACAGGAUUAGAUACCCUGGUAGUCCACGCCGUAAACGAUGAGUGCUAGGUGUAGAGGGUAUCGACCCCUUCUGUGCCGCAGUUAACACAAUAAGCACUCCGCCUGGGGAGUACGGCCGCAAGGUUGAAACUCAAAG
rnacentral:rRNA from 1 species